rnacentral:rRNA from 1 species
UUCCGGUUGAUCCUGCCGGAGGCCAUUGCUAUUGGAGUCCGAUUUAGCCAUGCUAGUUGCACGAGUUUAGACUCGUAGCAGAUAGCUCAGUAACACGUGGCCAAACUACCCUCUGGAGCACGAUAACCUCGGGAAACUGAGGCUAAUAGUGCAUACCGCUCGACGCCUGGAACUGGCUCGAGCCCGAAAUGCCCUGGCGCCAGAGGAUGUGGCUGCGGCCGAUUAGGUAGACGGUGGGGUAACGGCCCACCGUGCCAAUAAUCGGUACGGGUUGUGAGAGCAAGAGCCCGGAGACGGUAUCUGAGACAAGAUACCGGGCCCUACGGGGCGCAGCAGGCGCGAAACCUUUACACUGCACGCCAGUGCGAUAAGGGGACUCCAAGUGCGAGGGCAUAACGUCCUCGCUUUUCGUGACCGUUAGGUGGUCACAGAAUA